UUCUUUAAGCACUUGAGGAAAGCAUUCCUUUUACUCCAGCCAUCAAAAAUAAACAUAAGAGCGAGCACAUUCUCCGGACCUCGUCCAGGAAUAGAGCUUGCAGGAUCAAGUUCACACCUUCUGUGAUUAGGCCCCCUCUGCAGCUCCAGCCACUUCUCCUUCCGGUUUACCUUGCAUGCCUGUACCUCUACCCACGGCUUCAUCCGGCCAGGCUGAAGAACCGGCAAUAGAGGUCCGAUCUAAGCCUGGAAAUACAAUCCCAUAUGUGGAGCAGUGGAAAUUUUCAAAUUUGAGCUGCAUCGGGGAAACCAUUCACGGUCUCGUUGGCAUCAUCCUUGCAGGAAAGUACAAUUCCCACAUCUUCCUCUAGGAGUCAGCCAGGGACCAUCGCCGAAUUAAAGGAACUCAAGGAAGCUGGGAGGAGCCACAAACACGAAUUUCCAUCAGCUUGUGAGUUGAACAUUUAUUGCCAUCAGGCUGCCUUCUAGGACUUGGAUGACCUUACAUUUUAUUGUCUGUGGACCUCGGCACCUUACCUUAGCUGGGAUUUUUGCCGCAUGGUUCUCCAGGAUCAGUCUCUUCAGGUGCAGAACCCAGAGGCGCUUGUCUUGCUGGGAUUUGGCCUAGCGGAAGGAAAUGCGGACGGUCAGACGACUCACGUCUCCACCACGAACGAGAUUCAGACACUCCCAUAACCCUCUGACGAGACGGGAAACACACCGUGUGGGCCAGAAGGCUCUGGAAAGGCCGGCUGGCCCACGGCGCCCAUCGUUUACAAGAGCGAGCCCUGCAGGGAGGGGAGGCCUCUGCUGUUACCUGAACCGUGUGCUGCAGCUUGGGGUUCUUAUAGUGGAAGACGCUGAAGCUGAGAGGCUCCUUUGGUAUCACUUCCACGAGCAUGAGGUUGCCACACUGAGCAGGAGAGCAGAGAGAGGGUGAGGUGCACUUGGAGAGAAUGGGACGAGCGGCCGAAGCCCUUGCCCAUGGUCAACAUUCAGACCUACCAGGAUAUGCGCUUUGUACGUGAACGUAUCGUCUCUCUUCUUUGUGAUCAGAAGCAGCUUGUCAAAGAGGAAGAGCGUCCGCUCAUUCUUGGCCCGCUGGAUGCGAAAGGUCCCUUCGAGCACCAGUUCCCCAUAGCUGGUCAGGUCUGGCCCCUUCCAGUUAGUGAGCAGACUCUGUAUCUCCUGAAAAAGUGACCAUUCUGUGUGAUUAAACAAGAGAUGGGAAGCCAUGGAAGAGAGGGAAAGGUCUCCCAUUUGCUGAAUCUCAAGAGUGGUGUCUGAAUAUUCUAUGACAGGGCCUAAUGGGUCUAUUUGGUAUCCAAUGGUGUCUAAUGAUCCGUGACCCAAAUCCACAUUAAAAAAAAGAUUUUUUUU